GGGGGAUAAUACGUUUUUAGUUUUGCUAAAGUGGUAGAUUUAUUAGGUAUUUGUCUUUGAUUUUGGAAGCAUUUUUAUAUUUUUUUUUUUUCUGUGGGAUUAAAAUUGGAUCAUGUACAUCCACUUUAAAAAUAAAUAAAUGCGUAUUUUUACUAUAAAUCUAUGGAUCUGCACUAAGAAACUUCCCUCCAACCCUAGGUGUGGGGGAAAAAAUGUCCCAUUUACCCAUUGUACAGCGCUGCUGAAUAUGAUGGCGCUAUAUAAAGCAAAUAAUACAUCAGCCUCUUUCUAUACAUAUUAUUUGGGUUUGUAGAUGCGUUGCUAUCUGCGAGCACAUUCUUUAAUAAUAAAUUAUCUUUUUCAGCAUGUUCUUCAUCAAUUAUUAACUUUUAAGUGGAUUUAAUGUAUCCAACCUGGAAAUUCCCUAUUUGUACUUUCGAUUUCACGUUAUCUGCCUCCGGCUUAAAGGAAAGUAAAUUUUUUACCGACAGCGAACCUUAUCAAGCAGAUAUUGACCUUCUGAUUCUGGGCUUUUUAGGAUUCGAAAAAUAUUUUUAUGCUGAUGAUAAUAUUAAUUAACUAAAAUUUAGUUUAAUGGAUAAUUUAUUUCUUCCCUAUAUAGAAGUAUAAGCUGUAUCCAAAAGAAUGACUAAAGUACUUUUUGGUCAGUGGGCAGCCCUUUACCCUCUCCAGGCAGAUUGGGUGAAAAUUGAAAAAAAUAAAUGUUCUCGGGGAUUUCACAGCAGAAACCGUGUUAAUUUUUGUCCCUUUUUUAUGGUUAUUUACCGGAGCAAAGAUGCUUAUGAAAUCUCUACUCUCUUUCGGCCACCAGGGGCCACACUGUAACUGGUGUUCUCAUGUUAAGGGGAUAAGCCCUUGUUGCUUAUCAGGAGGUAUCGGCUGUGGGCUUUCUGUGUAUGAGCGUGGGAUCUCCUUUAAGGAAAUGCCUUUUUUCUGUUGGAAGAUGUCUUAUCCUUUAAUGGCUGUGCUUUCAAAAUGAUAUUUUAGGAGGUGACGUUAAACCCUUCAUUAUCCUGCUUCGGUGCUCCCACCUUUUGUUGCCUUAGCGCAGCCGGCGUGUAUA